CAGAUUGAACGCUGGCGGCAUGCUUUACACAUGCAAGUCGAACGGCAGCACGGGAGCAAUCCUGGUGGCGAGUGGCGAACGGGUGAGUAAUGCAUCGGAACGUAUCCUGGAGUGGGGGAUAACGCACCGAAAGGUGUGCUAAUACCGCAUAAGCCCCGAGGGGGAAAGCAGGGGAUCGCAAGACCUUGCGCUGAAGGAGCGGCCGAUGUCCGAUUAGCUAGUUGGUGAGGUAAAGGCUCACCAAGGCGACGAUCGGUAGCUGGUCUGAGAGGAUGAUCAGCCACACUGGGACUGAGACACGGCCCAGAC
rnacentral:rRNA from 1 species